UCUAAAAUUAUCAGGCAGUCAAAGAAGAUAAGUAGAUCUGCUAGUCAAAAGAGAAAAACAAUAGCUUUUUCUGUAAUAUUUCUAUGAAAAGGCAAAACAAUUAAUGGCCAAUAAUUUUUAAAUGUGCUCGCACACACCAUCUCAACUGGUCCUCAAAAGAAUCUUACAGAAAUAGAAGCAUAUGAGGGAAUAAAGGAUGUGACAGAGACCACUCGGUUCCAUCACUUGUUAACCCUGGGAACUUGGAGUAUUGAAAUCAAAUAGGUACUUAAAGCAUAUCUCAACAUGGACCAUCCAUGCUUCAAGGGUUUAGUAACCAUCUGCAGCUAGUGGCUAUUGCCCUGGACAGUGCUUAAGGGAAGGCCAAGAAGAGAAUGGGGAAGAAUGAAGAUAAGGGUAUUGGCAGCUUCAUCCGGUUCACCUCAGUGCUCUCCCAGAGAAAGAGGCGACAUGCCUGCCUAGAAGGAAAGUGAGGGAUGGAUGUGAAGGGAAGAUCGGAUUUGGAGCAGGUGCCAGGCAAAUCCUUACAAACCAGUAAACUGGGACUCUUCAUGAAUUCUUGCACUCUCAGUGAGAUUUGUAGUGACAGUUUUCGGUUCAAAAGUGCAUUCUUGUAACUAGACUACAUGGGAUCAUCCAGUGGAAUGAAGUCCAGUAUCACAUACACAGCUGUACUCUGAGAAGUAAUUUUAGACGUCAAGAUAAUGUAUGUCGAAGCUGUGCAAAACCACAACCCACCAGUGGAUCACGAUGCCUUUUGGCAAAUGCUGUUUAUUGUGUUAGUCUCUGGCUGUACAAUGAUCUGGAAAGCUGAACGACUGGAAUUUGUCACUUAAGCCAUUCAUCCUCAGCUGCCAAGAGGUGGGCACAUUCUGACCUCUGGAAUUAAAGUUGGGCAGAGUUCCAUACACUAUCCUACUAAGAAUGUGGUCACUAUAGCUCCAAUAAAGACAUCCUGUUUCAGCAAUACGGUGUAAAGAAAACUUCACAACUAUCAAAUGGUUUGGAUGUUUUCCAUUCAUUUUUAGUUGGUAGACGUCCAUUUUCUUUUUACUUAUGUCUAAACUAAUUGUGUGUCUUGAUAUUACAUUUUUUUCUAUAGCUCUAACCUAAAAACAGCUGAAGUUAUUUUCCUGAAUACACAUAAAAACUCCUGAGCUGAGACCUGAUAUAUCAAGUUUCAGCCUGAAGAAUUUUUUUGAGCCGAUGGUUUAUGCUGAAAACGCUGACAGAUGUCGAACAGCCUCAGCAAAGCAAUCUUUAAGGGAGUUCUGGGCAACAGCCCAUGUGGCUGCUUUGAAAGUGCUAAAUUCUUGUUGCUAAAUAAUUUUAUUUAAAAAAAAUCCUAUGAUUUAUUAUAUUAAUAUUUUAACAGAUAUUUGGAGAAAGCCAUCAAUUAAUUACUCUGUCGCUAACUUUUGGAACUUGUUAGUUCUUAUUUUGCAUUUUCUUUGGGCACAAGAAAUUCUAUAUUCAUCAUUCUAAAGGGCCAGAUAAGAGCCAGGCUUCAGAAAUUAUGACCUUUAAAGCAUAAAGUAGAUACAGAAAAUUUUAAAACUGCUGCAAGAAGUCCCCGAAACCAAGAGAAUCUAGAUGGUAAACAUCUGCUAAAUUUGUGGCAGUGAUUUUUCUUUCCUGGUAUUUUAAAAUAUGAGUCAGAGGACUCAAACUACAAACUACAUACGUCUGAUCAGAAGCAACUGAAUGUUUAUAAGUAUUCUACAGGGGGUUCGGACUGUCCCAGGAGGGUAAUAUUUUAAAGGACAUCAGUGGAUGCAAAUGAAUCUCAGCCAUAAGAAGGAAGAAGAGGUGAAUAGUACUUUUGUCUCUGGGAGACUUGGAAUUUCAGACAGGCUCCAUUUUGGAGAAUUCUAUUUAGCUUGCCUGCAUUUGCUGAUGUUGUUUCAGUUGGGAAUGGGAGAAUGAUAUUCCUUAUCCCUGCAUCCUGAACUGUUCAGCAGUGUUAUGCUAUGCUGUUAACAGCUGGCAAGUUCCAUGGAUAUGCAGAUGGAAGAGUUCCCGCUGAUAUAAAAAGAUCUUAUGAAUUGUGUCUUGUGUAAAAGAGAGCAAAAUCCUUUUUACAAAGUAAGUAUAACAUGAGUAAGAACGGCAGUUUUUUUCUUCCCCUGUUGGUCUCUAGCCAACUCUCGUCUCUGACAGUCUAAUACAUAAUCUAGACACUUUACUGCAUUGCUGUGCUCCUUGGAAAACUGUUUUUACAUUUUUUUUCUCCAAAGCUAAGCACUUCCUUUCUUCCUUUCUAGUUACGCCAUGGUAGUUAGCAAUCUUCUAAAUGUCUGAAUGCUGCAUAAAUAAUUAAGUGGCACAGAAUGUGUUGUUUUGCAAAGUAAAAAAAAAUCCACCCAUCUAGAUUCAUGAGCAUAUUAAGUCAUUAGCAAGAGGAAUAUUCCACCUACAAGAAAUACACUAAUGAGAUAAAAUGGAAGGGUGUGAAAAAUGUGAGCAACUUUACAAUGUUACCACCAUACCAGAAAGCCCUAAGAAUGGAAAGGCCAAGUCAAUGGCCACUCAACAUGCAGAAGAAAAAAGAUAUUCUAUAACAGCUUUUAUUUAUCUUCUUUGUUUGAAAAAAAAUGAUGGAGUGAUUAUUUGUAAUGUAAAAUAUAAAAAUAUCCACUAGGGUUAUCAUUUGGACCAUCUGAGAAAACAACAGGCCUUUUUAUUUUCAGAAAUCUAUACCAAUUUAGCAUUUUGUAUGUAUCAUGUACAUGCAUCACCCGAUGUACAUGUUUACUGAUUUAGUACAGUGUUUUUUUUUUUGCCUCUUCUCCUCUCUCUUCUGGCCUCAGGACAAGUUGUCUACAUACAUGUGGAUUUGGUGCUUUGUGUUUCUAACUGCUGACACUAUAGUACUCCUCUUAACAUAUCACUCUACCAUUAAAAUGAUUG